rnacentral:rRNA from 1 species
GGACCCGCACAAGCGGUGGAUGAUGUGGAUUAAUUCGAUGCAACGCGAAAAACCUUACCUACCCUUGACAUGGCAGGAAUCCUGAAGAGAUUUGGGAGUGCUCGAAAGAGAACCUGCACACAGGUGCUGCAUGGCUGUCGUCAGCUCGUGUCGUGAGAUGUUGGGUUAAGUCCCGCAACGAGCGCAACCCUUGUCAUUAGUUGCUACGCAAGAGCACUCUAAUGAGACUGCCGGUGACAAACCGGAGGAAGGUGGGGAUGACGUCAAGUCCUCAUGGCCCUUAUGGGUAGGGCUUCACACGUCAUACAAUGGUACAUACAGAGGGCCGCCAACCCGCGAGGGGGAGCUAAUCCCAGAAAGUGUAUCGUAGUCCGGAUUGUAGUCUGCAACUCGACUACAUGAAGUUGGAAUCGCUAGUAAUCGCGGAUCAGCAUGUCGCGGUGAAUACGUUCCCGGGUCUU